CGUCAGCUCGUGCCGUGAGGUGUCGGGUUAAGUCCCGCAACGAGCGCAACCCUCGCCCUUAGUUGCCAGCAUUUAGUUGGGCACUCUAAGGGGACGUGCCGGUGAUAAGCCGAGAGGAAGGUGGGGAUGACGUCAAGUCCUCAUGGCCCUUACGGGCUGGGCUACACACGUGCUACAAUGGUGGUGACAGUGGGCAGCGAGCACGCGAGUGUGAGCUAAUCUCCAAAAGCCAUCUCAGUUCGGAUUGCACUCUGCAACUCGAGUGCAUGAAGUUGGAAUCGCUAGUAAUCGCGGAUCAGCAUGCCGCGGUGAAUACGUUCCCGGGCCUU
rnacentral:rRNA from 1 species